rnacentral:rRNA from 1 species
GUGUCAGCAGCCGCGGUAAUACGGAGGAUGCAAGCGUUAUCCGGAAUUAUUGGGCGUAAAGCGUCCGUAGGUGGUUUAUCAAGUCUGCUGUCAAAGCGUGCGGCUUAACCGCAUAAGGGCAGUGGAAACUGAUGAACUAGAGUGCGAUAGGGGUAACAGGAAUUCCCAGUGUAGCGGUGAAAUGCGUAGAUAUUGGGAAGAACACCAGCGGCGAAAGCGUGUUACUGGGUCUGCACUGACACUGAGGGACGAAAGCUAGGGGAGCGAAAGGGAUUAGAAACCCUUGUAGUCC